rnacentral:rRNA from 1 species
UACGUAGGGUGCGAGCGUUAAUCGGAAUUACUGGGCGUAAAGCGUGCGCAGGCGGUUCGCUAAGACCGAUGUGAAAUCCCCGGGCUUAACCUGGGAACUGCAUUGGUGACUGGCGGGCUAGAGUAUGGCAGAGGGGGGUAGAAUUCCACGUGUAGCAGUGAAAUGCGUAGAGAUGUGGAGGAAUACCGAUGGCGAAGGCAGCCCCCUGGGAUAACACUGACGCUCAUGCACGAAAGCGUGGGGAGCAAACAGG